rnacentral:rRNA from 1 species
GACAGAGGGGGCAAGCGUUGCUCGGAAUCACUGGGCGUAAAGGGCGCGUAGGCGGGAUGGCAAGUCGGUCGUGAAAUCCUUCGGCUCAACCGAAGAACGUCGGCCGAUACUGCCGUUCUUGAGGGAUGCAGAGGAGACUGGAAUUCCCGGUGUAGCGGUGAAAUGUGUAGAGAUCGGGAGGAACACCGGUGGCGAAGGCGGGUCUCUGGGCAUCUCCUGACGCUGAGGCGCGAAAGCGUGGGGAGCAAGCGGG